AAGUCGUAACAAGGUAACCGUAGGUGAACCUGCGGUUGGAUCAUUAAUGAAGGCUUUUAUGCCAAACCAGCUUUUUUAAGCUGACCCACCUUGUGUGAACCGUUAAAAUGUUUUUAGGCGGAGAGGGUUUUUUAAGUUGGGGUUUGAAUACUUCUUCUUUAAUCCAAAGUCUUUAAUUAGAUAACAUCUCCGCCUACUGCUAUUUUCUUGAAAAAGAGGAUGGCAAAACAAAAACAAACCUUUUAUUGUCUUUCAAAUUAUAAAUCUAAACAAAUUUUUUACAUUCUAAAAUAAAAUUUCGAAUGAAAAAACAACUUUUGACAACGGAUCUCUUGGCUCUC
rnacentral:misc_RNA from 1 species